CGGACGGGUGAGUAAUGUCUGGGAAACUGCCUGAUGGAGGGGGAUAACUACUGGAAACGGUAGCCAAUACCGCAUAACGUCGCAAGACCAAAGAGGGGGACCUUCGGGCCUCUUGCCAUCAGAUGUGCCCAGAUGGGAUUAGCUAGUAGGUGGGGUAACGGCUCACCUAGGCGACGAUCCCUAGCUGGUCUGAGAGGAUGACCAGCCACACUGGAACUGAGACACGGUCCAGACUCCUACGGGAGGCAGCAUG
rnacentral:rRNA from 1 species